rnacentral:rRNA from 1 species
AUUGAACGCUGGCGGCAUGCCUAACACAUGCAAGUCGAACGAGUGGCGGACGGGUGAGUAAUGUCUGGGAAACUGCCUGAUGGAGGGGGAUAACUACUAGAAACGGUAGCUAAUACCGCAUACCAUCAGGUGUGCCCAGAUGGGAUUAGCUUGUUGGUGGGGUAACGGCUCACCAAGGCGACGAUCCCUAGCUGGUCUGAGAGGAUGACCAGCAACACUGGAACUGAGAAACGGCCCAGACUCCUACGGGAGGCAGCAGUGGGGAAUAUUGGGCAAUGGACGCAAGUCUGACCGAGCAACGCCGCGUGAGUGAAGAAGGUUUUCGGAUCGUAAAGCUUUUUUGGUAGAGAAGCGGUAUCUAACCAGAAAGCCACGGCUAACUCCGUGCCAGCAGCCGCGGUAAUAC